UGUCGCCGUUGCUUCGUUACGCGUCUGCAAAACAGGAAGUUGCUGAUUAAAAUAAGAGUAGGAGCGUCUCGCAAAACUGGGAAAAAAAGAAAGCGAUUGUUUGUAUAAAUAAAACGAAUAAGGAUUCAUCUAAAGAAGGAACUGUACAAGUCAUACGAACAGUAAGACAGUCCGUAAGGCUUAAGGACGCCUUUUUAAUUGUAAUGGCUCGAGUGUCAUUUAGCUGCGUCCACCGAAAGGAUGGCUGCCCGCGUUUAGUGUUAGUUUUGUGAAUUUCAUUGGACGCUUCUUUGGUUUGGAGUCGGAGAGAUCAUCGCAGAGCUUUUCGGAGAGCCUACUCGUCCUGCUGAGGACUCUGCAUGAAUCGAGCGAAGAAGGCGCCGGCCCCCCGGCCGAAGGGGCAGGGUGCGGCGGCCGCGCGGCAGAUGGGCCUUUUACUGGAUUUAUCACCAGAAGGGAUGGAGAACAAUGAGGACAAUGCUGACCUGGAAGCUGAGCUCCUUGCCAUUACAGGAGAUAAACCAUCUUCAAAACAGAAGGGCGCCGGUAAAACUCCCUUGCCAAUGGAACAUAUUGAAAGAAUGGCAGCACUAUGCAUGAAGGAUCUGGAUGACGACGACGAGGAGGAGGAUGAAGACCUGGAGAAUGAUGAAGACCUUAUGGCUGAGCUAAAUGACGUCUUGGAUGAUGUUGAUGAUAAAGCAACCUCCCCUCCAAAGCCAUCACCAGCAUGUGAAAGAAGACCACAGGUGCAGUCAGCUCCUUCUGGAAUGGAGGAAAGUCCGGAGUCUAUGCUGGAAGAAAGGCUCUCCAUGUAUCAAUCGGCCAUCAAAAAUGCCAAAACUGCUGGAGAAGGGAGUAAAGCUCGCCGCUAUGAACGCGGCCUCAAGACACUGGAGUCAAUGUUGGUCUCAGUCAAAAAGGGAAAGAAGAUCAAUAUAGAAGAAAUCCCACCACCGGUUGCCACUGGCAGCAAGCCGGCUCCCACCGAGGCUUUCCCACCUAAACCUGAACCAGUGGAAAGCCAGUUUAAGAAAGAAGAAGAAAAUGCCCCCUCUCUGCAAACUCGGGCCACCAGACCCAAUCUUCCAAUUCCAUCCAUUGAAACUUCUCCUCCAUUGCCUUCUCCUGACUAUCCGGCUCCUCAAAAGCUUGCACCACCACCCGUACCAAAAAAGCCUACCUUGAUGCCUCCUACACAACCAGCGCUUCUUCCAAAACUUUCCCCGAGUACCCCAUUACAGCAGUCAUUGGCUUCAACACCUGAAACACCACUCAUUUCUCCACUCACACCAACAAAACCCCCAAGUGUGGCACCGACAGGUGUGAAAGGACUUUUACUGAGUCGGCAGAGGGAGUAUAAACUGGCAGCCCUACAGGCCAAACAAAGUGGGGACAAUGAACUAGCAAAGAAAUAUUACAUUAUUGCUAAGAAAUUUGACCCAGUGCUUGAAUCUCUGGAUAAAGGAGAACCCAUAGACAUCAAUAAUAUAGCACCUCCUCCUGGUGAGCUGGUGAUGACCAGGUCUGUGCCAGUCACUCAGCCUACACCUCCAGCGUCUUCUCCCACACUACAAGCUACAGAAACAGCACUUCCCCCUGCCCCUCACAAUGUGACUGAGGCCUUGCAGCAAAGAAUGGAAAGGUACCAAAGUGCAGCUGCUCAAGCUAAAGCCAAAGGAGACGACCGCAAGGCUCGAAUGCAUGAGCGUAUCAUCAAGCAAUAUCAAGAUGCCAUUCGGGCUCACAAAGCAGGAAGAUCAGUCAAUCUGUCGGAACUCCCAGUGCCACCAGGAUUCCCGCCCAUCCAAGGCACAGAUGGUUCAGGAGGAGAUCAGAGCAUAAUGGGGGUGUUGGAGACGGCCAUGAAACUGGCUAAUCAACCUGAAGAUGGGGAGGAGGAUGAAGAUGGUAUUCAAGAGACAGGGAAGCCCGCUGGUCAUCCCGUUACAGCAAAGUCACCUGGGUCAGCUCAGCCAGUCCAGUCCAAAGGAGGAGCACCUGCUGUUGGGCAAGGAAAUGCUAAACCUACUCUGAAGCUCGGCACAAAAGCCCAGCAACAGCUAGAGUUCCUUGAGGGUCGUAAAAAGCAGUUGAUGCAGGCAGCACUGCGAUCUAAACAGAAGAAUGACCUGGAAGGUGCAAAGCAGCACUUGCGAAACGCCAAGGGACUCGACCCAAUGAUUGAAGCUGCAAAAGGGGGGCUACCUGUAGAUAUCACUAAGGUCCCACCUGCUCCAAUAAAUGAAGAGGACUUUAUGCUUGUACAGCAACGUGGUGUGAAGAUUCCUCAGAAGACGGCAGAGCAGUACAUUCAGUUGAUGGAGCUCCUCAAGGAGCAGCAUGAUAUGAGUAUGAAGUACUCCAAACAGUUCACUCACUUAGGCAAUGUAGCCGAGACCACCAGGUUUGAGAAGAUGGCCGAGGAAUGCAAGAAGCACAUUGACAUUCUGAAGGUGGCCCAUGGGAAGGGAUAUCCUUUGCCCAAAUUCCAUUAUGAAGAACGCACAUUUAAUAUUACAAAGAUCUUCCCCAAUCUGUCGAGCAGUGAUAUGAUCCUGACAGUGGUGAAAGGAAUCAAUUUACCGGCACCUCAAGGGGUCUCACCAAAUGAUUUGGAUGCCUUCGUUCGUUUUGAGUUCCCCUUCCCUUCAUCGGAGGAAGCUCAGCGUGAUAAGACGAACACUAUAAGGAAUACAAACAACCCAGAGUUCAGGGAGCAAUUCAAGCUGAAUAUAAUCCGUGGGCACAGAGCCUUGAAGAGAGUGGUGCAGUCGAAAGGAAUCAAGUUUGAAGUUGUUCACAAGGGGGGCCUUUUCAAGAAUGACCGUGUUGUGGGCACUGGCCAGCUUAAACUGGAUGGACUGGAAUCCAAAUGUGAGAUAAGGGAAAUUGUUGAGUUAUUAGAAGGAAGGAAGCCAACGGGAGGAAAACUGGACGUUGUGGUGUGCAUUCGGGAGCCUCUUGGGGGCCAGCAGUUAGAGAGUGUCACCGAAAAGUGGUUGGUUAUCGAUCCCUUGACACUUCCGCCUGUGGCUGUCCCAAAAUCCAAGCCCAAGAACGAUGUUAGUAACAGCCCCCCUUCUUUCAAACUUCACAGCCUGAGUCUCCUUAGCUUUGACAAGGAAAGAACUGAAAGAAAGAUUUCAGAAUACAAGCGUGAACACCGAGAACCUCCUCGGGACCUCCUUAUGAAGCACAGGGACCUCUGUCAGCAUAUCCAGUGGCAAAUGAAUCUCCUUGAAAAGCCCAGUCCGGAAGUCUGCAAAGGCUAUCAGAUUAUUCUGGAGAAGUUUAUUGAUGGAUUUGAAAACUCUGUCGGUCGCUUUUCAAAAGAAGGAAACCGAGAAGCGGCCAAAGAUGCCCUUGCCAGGUGUCAAAUGGUGAAGAAAGAGUUGGAGAAUUUCAAAAGAAAAAGGCCUAACUAAGGCACUGAGGACAUUUAAGGGUCCAUCCUGGUGAAGCUUGACAUGUGACUGCUGAAUGCUGGGUGACAGAAUGUUUAAGAAGAUGUGUGGGCACACAUGAAGAUUUGUAGACCCCACAGAAAGUACAACUGACUGUGAAACCAGAGAUGAAGCCGCUGCUCCUACUUCAGAACCUGACACCAAUGAAUGCAUUUGAUUCUAGAAGGUGCCCAGGAAUUCUGGGUGAUGUAGUCUACUAACAGAGCUAACAGGUGCCCUGGAAUUCUGGGUAAUGUAGUUUUUUUUUCCUGCCAGAUGUGUCCUGGAAUUCUGGGUAAUGUAGUUUUUUUUCCUGCCAGAGGUGCCCUGGAAUUCUGGGUGAUGUAGUCUAUUACCAGCAGUUUCUGUUGUUUUGUGGUUCUCCUCUCGUCAGGCUGUGUCUCCCUCACUAAGGCUCUUUACCUUUCAGUUAACUUCGUCGCUUUGUCUCUAAAUGAUUAGUGAACAUCAGUUGAGAAUUGCGCUACAACACUAAAGGAGAGGUGACAUGAAUGUGCGUCACUUUGUCACCUCUUUGCCACAUCUUUUGACUGUUAUAUUUGAUUUUUUUUUUGUUUUAAAGCCAGCACAAGUCGUGCAGCUGAUUUGCGAUUUACGACAUUUUGUUUUUUUUUGAGCGCGUAUUCUGGUCUUCUUGCCAAGGCAAUCAGUGAUUAUAAACUUUUAAUGGUUAUUUGCUCACUUGAAAACUUUUAAUGUAUAAAGAAAAUCUAUUGCAAUACAGGAUGAGAACUUUUAUUGUUAAUAAUGUAUUCAUUUUUGGUUAAUGAUGCAUAUAAUAAGACAUUCUUUAAAGAUAUAAAGUUUACUGCGUUGGAAGCUC